GGCUCGGGGCGCCUUAUUGGCUGAGAUGAACCCGUAUAACCUGAUCUGGAUAAUGCCAGCGUAGGGAAGUCAAGG
rnacentral:ncRNA from 1 species